GUGUCAGCAGCCGCGGUAAUACGUAGGAGACGAGCGUUGUCCGGAGUUACUGGGCGUAAAGGGUGCGCAGGUGGUCGUGCGCGUGGGGGGUGAAAUCGCCCGGCUUAACUGGGCGGGGGCCUUCCAGACGGCGCGACUUGAGGCGCGGAGGGGGACGUGGAAUUCCGGGUGGAGCGGUGAAAUGCGUAGAGAUCCGGAGGAACACCGACGGCGCAGGCAGCGUCCUGGCCGCGACCUGACACUGAGGCACGAAAGCUGGGGGAGCAAACAGGAUUAGAUACCCUGGUAGUCC
rnacentral:rRNA from 1 species